UGGGGAAGUUUUCCGUCAAUGGGCGGAAAGCCUGACGGAGCAAUGCCGCGUGGAGGUGGAAGGCCUACGGGUCGUCAACUUCUUUUCUCGGAGAAGAAACAAUGACGGUAUCUGAGGAAUAAGCAUCGGCUAACUCUGUGCCUG
rnacentral:rRNA from 1 species